UACAGAGGUGGCAAGCGUUGUUCGGAAUUACUGGGCGUAAAGGGCUCGUAGGCGGCCAACUAAGUCAGACGUGAAAUCCCUAGGCUCAACCUAGGAACUGCGUCUGAUACUGGAUGGCUUGAAUCCGGGAGAGGGAUGCAGAAUUCCAGGUGUAGCGGUGAAAUGCGUAGAUAUCUGGAGGAAUACCGGUGGCGAAGGCGGCAUCCUGGACCGGCAUUGACGCUGAGGAGCGAAAGCUAGGGGAGCAAACGGG
rnacentral:rRNA from 1 species